rnacentral:lncRNA from 1 species
UACAAUUCUAAAGUCUUUAUUUAAAUUAAGCAAUUCACACAUUCUUGUACUUUGGGUGGGGUUAAAUUUUGUUUCUGUUGAACAUAAGAAUUUACCAAAAAUGACCCAAGUUAGGGUUUCAAGUACUUUGCAGUUUAAGCAAGGUUAAGGCUAUCUUUGGGGGAGGGGGGGAGUAACCAGGGAUCGAACUCAGGACCUUGCACUUGUGAGGCAGGUGUGGUGCCACUGAACUAAAUCCCCCGGCCCCCAAGUUUGUUUGGUUCUUUUCUGGUACUGGGGAUUGAACCCGGGACCUUCACACUGAGCUACAUCCCCAGACCCUUUAAAAUAUUUUAUUUUGAAACAGGGUCUUGCAAGGUCACUAAAUUGCACAGGCUGGGCUUCAAGUCAAGAUCCUCCUGCCUCAGCCUCCCAGAGCGCUGGGAUUACAGUUGUGAGCCACCAUGCCUGGCCUGGCUACCAGUUGGUUUUGUGCGCUCAGGAACUCCUCAGGCCCCUUAUCGACUUUAGCUGUGCUUUAACUGCAUUCCAUAGGCCCCUGAUCGGCGAUAUAAAGAAUGGUGCCCUACCUGAUGUGUCAUGUGCCCACACCCGCAGGUAGCCAUGGCCUCGAGCGCUGCGGUUCCACCGACCUCCAUCCUACCAGAUGUCCACUUUCUGUCACCACUGAAACCCGACUCAGCUGCCGCUCCUCAAGGCAAAGACCCUGGUUUUUCAGUUUUUUGAGUCCAUGAGAUAGAACCAAAUGAAAAUGUGCGGAUGGCAGUGAAGCUGGAACUGAUGUUUCUGGGGGUCACAUGAUUUCCACCAGAGUCUCACGGCACCAGCACCAAGCCAAUGUGACCUUCUGCUGAACUGAGAUCAGAGGACGUGGCUGAGUAUCUAUGCAAAGCUUCGGAAAGAAGGCCCGGAACACUUAACGCUUUGGACCUCAACCAGUGUCUCAAUCUUGCUCUUUGGGGAUGAAGAGAAAGUCGUCGUCCACCCAGAGGACGUACUUGGUGGUGACCUGUGAGAUGGCCAGGUUCCGCCCCGCAAACCAGCCCUGGAAGCUACAGGAGCUGAGGCUUCUCACUGUCGUCAGCCACGAUCACCAUCAAGUCUGGGUAGAACUCCGAAGAUGCUCUGCAGCAAGGUCUUCAGCUUGUGGGGCCGCUGGAAAGUCUUGGUAGCAAUGGUUGCCAGGGUUCCUGAGCUUCCUCUCUGGACAAAAACGGGAAGCCUUUCUGCCCUCCACACGGACCUGCUGUCUUAUUUCCGCAACAGGGUCUCACUCUGUAGCCCAGGC